UUGUGUUUAAGGUUUACAAACUCUAUUAGAAAAAAAUGAGCUGUUUAGGCAUGCAAUGGGGAUCAAAAAGGACUCCUGCACAACAAAUCAAGUAAACAAGAGGUGAGUCAUUCGCAAUCUAGCUGGUUUUUUAGAAGGGCCUGUUUGAUGGAUGAUGAUCAAUAUGGUGUGAUAUGCUAUGAGGGCUGGUGGAUGAUAGGUUUAUGGUAGCAGAAGGGUAACAGGCUAAAAGAAAUGAAAAACAAUAAGCAGAAAAUGCCAAGGAAACAAAUGAACAAAGACAUGGGAAUAAGAAAACCAUCAAUCUCCCACUGGCUUAACAAGAACUAUUUCCCUGGGGGCUCACGCCCAAUUCCAAUGUCAUGGAAAAAGGAAAAUAGCAUCAUACAUCAUAGCAUUACAAAAACUUUAAGGAAAGAAGUCUUAAAAUGGCCCUAAGCUAUCAUGUUACUGUUUUAUAUCAUAUGCCAUAGAUAAUAACUGGCCUUUCACUUUCUCCAAUUAACAUGUUGGCUAUCUAGGCACUUAAGUUUGCCCCCUUUCUCACUAUGACUACAUAAGACAAGGAUUAAAGCGUAAAAUAACACUAAAAUAAAAAUAAAUGACAAAGACAAGCAAAGACUUAACCACUAGACUCCGCCAAGCUAUAAUAGUGUCCAUGAAGCUCUCAUUAAGAUUCAGCAUUGUUGAUGUCAAUCGAAAGACUUGGAAGUCUCCUUGAGCACCUAAUGUAAAUGUGAAAUUCAUCUUGACUUCUAUCAACCAACUUAACAAACUAGUCAAUUCGAUUGCCUGCUAGUUGCAUGUAGACCUAGUGAGUUGGCAGAUUCAUUUGCAUUUAUAUGCAUGAUUUACAUACUACAAUGUAUUAGAAUUUAGAAUAUAGCUUUGAGAAAUGAAAGCUACAGUUACAACAGAUGCACAUCACAAGCAUUAGGAGUUUGGAGGAGAAAUGGUCACUAAUUGAGUCUAAUGCCGGAGUGCUGGUUCAACACAAAAAGUAGCUAUCAGCUAUUAAUAGUUUGGAGUAGUUGAUAUUUUAGUCUAAGUCAAAAGUUCAGUCAAAUAGUAAUUAUUACUACUAAUCGUUGGUGGUUCUUAAGGUUUUUCAUUUGUUACAAAAUGUUAAACAUAUUGUUUCAAAUUUUUAGACAUCACUAGUUCUAGUUAAUGCAUGUGUCUCUUAAUGUUUGUAAAGGAAACUGUUGUAUUUGUCUAUUAAAAAGUAGUCAUGUACUAACGUAAUCAAUAUUAAGUGUUAUGUAAUGUCUGUACGGAGUCAUAUAAUAGAUGUUGGUAGAAUAAAGAAUUGGUGUAUUAGAGUUUAUCUCUUUUGAAUGUAGUGGUGGAUUCCACUUGCUAUCUCCCUCUCCUACUUCUCUUCUAUCCUGAUUUCUUUUUCCAUUUAUUCUUAAGCCAAUGUUUUUUGUUAUCAAUUUUUAUCAAAGUAUAAGUUUGACUCGCACCCUUUCUCUUUAAGAAGGCAUCUCUUUUCAAAAAUCAUGGCUUGCAAUAACAAAGAGCGUUAUAAACUUCUUCAACAUCAUGUCGAACUAUUUUGUCUAUAUGAUGAAGCUUGGCUAGAAUAGAGGAUAAAGAUAGAUGAAGGAUUCAAAAACAAACAAGAAAUACUCAAGAUUGUAUUGAUAAAUUAUAAGUGAUGCUAUCUCAACUAAUCACAAUUGAAAUUUCUUCAAAUGAAUGGCUAUCAUCAGAUGUGAUUCAUCCAUGCAAAGUCAAGAUCAACAAAGAAUCAACAAGAUUGAUGAAGUUAGAACUUCACAUAAGGUUUUAACUAUAUGAUGACAGCUCUUAUGCCUAAUUGUCUGCCAACCAUCAUUCAUCUAGUGGAAUCCAUCACUACUUCAAAUAGGCAUAAAAUCAAAAAUACCUAUUUUUCAUUCUACUAUGGCUUUAUGUUGACACUACAUAACUCUUCAUGUACCUUACAUUAAUACAUGACUACUUUCCAAAAGAUACAAACGACAACUGCGUUUAUAAUCUUUAAGAGAUGCAUGUUUGAAUUAUAAUUAAUGAUGCUCAAAAAUUCUAAAAGGCACAUUUGGCAUUUAUAGCUUAACAAGCACUAUAUAUUAAUAACUAAUAAUUUCUCUAUGACUAGACUUAGACUAAAAUAUGGGAUUGGCAUAUGGGUCUCUAGAAUAGACAUGAUAAAGUUGGUGUAUUGCUCUUGCUCAGAGGUUGCUUGAAGCUUUGGAAAAGCUGCACGUGAAAGGUUCCUAUCAUGUCUUGUGAAUGAAUCUGCAUACUUCUAUGAAUUGGAUCUUCCAAAAGACAUGCAGAUCAGCCAUGUAUUCAGGAUGAUGUGACGCUUUAUAAGGAGCCUACGAACAUCCCUAUUAAGCCUUCCUUUUUCGUCUCUUACUACUACUGUUGAUGUAACAACUUAUGACCUUGCUGAAAAAGGCUAUAUCCACUAGGUUUGGUUUCUGCAAUUCCUCAACCUAUCAUCCCAGAUCAUCCACAACUGAGAGAGUAGAAAAUGGAUAAAGUUAAGUAUAUUAGUCAUAUCUGAGUUGGAGAAAGUGAAAGGCUGAUUCAUGGUUCACCGCACUAGUUUGCACCGCCCCAUAUUGGGCAUAUACCGUACCACAUUGUUAUUGGACCAACACUUGGUAUGCUGAACCGACCGGUUACCAAGCGUGCCAACACUAUACUAAUGUGGCAUCAGUACGGGGUUCGGUAUCGAGAGGUAAACCUUGGGUUAAUUAAUGUUCAUAGAACUCUAAUGUGAAAAGUAAUGUUACAUUGCUGGACCUAUCUAAAAAAAGAAAAGAAAGGAAAAGAAAAUCAAAGUUCUUUUUCCCUUGUGAUGCUAUAUGUGAGGUGUAGUUACUGAGUGAGGCCGCAGGAGUUCUUUGUCAAGUUGGUGUGAAAUUGUUGCUUUCUUUUGUCUAUAUCUUUUCUUUGUUUGUUUCUUCUACAUCUUGUGUUCGUUGUUUCCUCUUUUUAUUUGUUUUUUGACCCUUUCAUUUUCGGCCCUAACAGUAUCUGACAUAGUAGCAAUUAUCAGUCAUCAAACAGGCCUAUAGAAAGAACAUGCCUGGAUUGGAUCGAUUACCUAUUGGUUAAUCUGGUUUGCUUGGGCAGUAGUCUUUUCUGAUUCUUCGUACAAGCCUAGACAACUUAGUCUUCUUUUAAUAAAGCCUCAUGAUGUCUAGAUCCCCUGAAUACAAAUCCUAAAUUUGAUGUUUGAACUUUUCCCUUUUGAUUGUUCGAGAUUUUAUAUUUGAAAUUAAUCUCAUAUUUGUAAAUUUGUUGCUUUUUUUCCCAUACGUGGACCCUAAAUCUGAUUUGAAGAGGCUUCUAGAGAUAUGACUGACUCCAGUUAGUGAUUGUAGCAACAUGAUUAAGCAAAUGCAGCACCAUCAUCCCAAAUCCCUCCACUUUCCUUUGGUAUCUUCUGAUACUUUGCCCCGAGAAACUUUAUUAAUUCACGUAUAAGCUAUUAUCUAAUUUUGUUUUUGGCAAACUAUUCAUCUUUAGUGCUAAACAUUCAUAAUCUGUGUCUAGGUUAGUUUCUGAUUUAUUUUCCUGAGCAUAUUAGUUUCAGAAUUCGAUUUUAAAUUGUCAAAUUGACAUAAUGUUGCAUUACGAUUAGAAUUUUGUCAUAAAGCAAUCAGUUGUUUUAUAGAUUAGCUCAAGAAAAGGUCUUCUUUUCCUACUUAAUUUUACAGUGGGAACUGAAAGCCUCAUCCUAUGGAAAAAAACAAAUGUUUCGAUAACUCCCCGCCUCUCGGGUAAUGUUGGAUUAUGUAAAGCCAGUCUCAUCUAACCGAGUUAGAUAGAACAAAAAAAUGUUGGAUUGGGUCUUUUCUGACUAUAUAGAUGAAGGGUUGGGUUGUUUAUAAGAGGAUUGGGGCUAGGGAGUGCCCAUGACAGAAGUGAUUGUGGCUAUGAAGGGAAGCAUAGAGAGUGGAGAGGAAAGGAUAUGGGGUUUGUGCAAGAUUAGAUACCUGAUUCGAGGAUUGAAUCAGAUUGAGAUGGGAGCUAUGAUGGGAAAGAGAGUGUUGGAGGGGGGAGGUUGUUUAUUUUAAAUCAUGACUGUGAAGAUAGUUUCUUUACCGUAAGUUGUGCAUGCAAGAUGUGUGCAUGUGCUUUAUGCUUCAGCCCUUAUAAUAUAAAUUGUUUAGCAGUCUCAUCUUUAUAUAAUUUUAUUUUUCAUUUCAUCUAAAAUCUGUUAAGAAAGAAUUCUACAAGCAUUUCAUGCUGAGUGAAUUUUCCAGUUUUUUAAUUAGUAUUUUAAUACAUUUGUUGCAGUGAAAUCACAGCUGAAGGUCGCCGGAUAACAAAGCUUGAUCAGAUACUGCUGAAUGGCAACAACAUUGCCAUCGUAAGUUAGCAGAACUAUUUUAUGCUCUUAAAUUUGAUAUCAAAUUCCAAAAAAGCCAUGACUGAAGUCUUCUGAAAUAAAAAUUCCUGAUCUGUUUAUCAAAUAAAAAUGGAUCUGCGCAAGUUUCUGAUGCAUCUUCUAAAAAUAUGUAAGUAGUAUAUGAUUUGUUAGAAGAAUCAGUCAGUCUUUAUUCUUUGAAACUUUGUUAAAAGAAAAUCAUUGGAUUGAUGAUCAAUAUUUCAUAUAGGCAGGGUAUUUCAUGUAUCAGAAUUGUUCUCAUCAUAGGUGAUGCUUCCUAAAGUUUUGAAAGUUCUAUACUUUCUGUCCUUUCUUCUUCUUUUUUUUUUGUUUUAAUUUUUUUUUCUUUUGUCUUGUACUGAACAACAAGCAAAAACAGUUUAGCUGUCUUAUGUAUAUAAAUGUCAGAAUUUGCUUAGAAAGAUCAGUUUUUAUUCUUUAGUUCUCAUCUUUCCUUGCCAACUUGUUAAUGCUUUGUGCAGCUGGUCCCUGGUGGUUCCCCCGAUCCAGAAUGAAAGAACAGAUAUUUUUGAAGUGAGCUGAGAUUUAUUGGCUUUUUUAAGUUCGUGGACUGAUAUAAAUCAAAAUCUUAACGGAUUAUUGUGAACCAAAUAUGUAGGAUGAUACCGAUAAUAGGCUUAUGUUCUAUUGAAAUCUUCUUUUUUUUAACAGAUACAUUUGAUCUGCCUUGAUCAAUUGCCGACAAUGCUUUUCGGGACAAAUAUUGCAUUUGUAAUGACUAAUGACUCUGCAUUAUAGCCUGGAACUUUUAUAGACAAAAAAACCAACUUGGACUUUCCUAAAAAAAAAAAAGCAAAACUAACUUGGACUAGGGCGCUUAGACCAGCCAGUCAGCACCCUUGAUCCAUGUGCUUCAGCAUUUCUAGUCCUAAAGGUUUCAACCAGCUUUGGAGAAAGACAGGCAGUAUCUCUUAGCCUCCUGGCAUGAAAUUUUUUUGUGGCGAUGCACUUGUUGGCCGAUGGCUGGAUUUUAGGACCUUGCUCUUUGUUUGGUGCUCUCGGUAUCCGUUUAGUUCUUUUGGAGUUUCUCCCUUUGAUGCUUCUUCGGCUUCUGCUGCCCAAUUUGUGGCAGCGGUCCCAUCGUUGGUUGUGGCUCCAACACAGCUUGGAAGAAACUUCAGGAUGGAUGCAUGCGGAUGUCAUCCGAAUCCCUGUCAAAUUGUUUGACAAUUUUGGUUUAUGUUUCGUGUUAAGGAGUCCAGCAGCAUAGACAGGAUCAAAGGUGGAAGCUUUCUUUUUUUCUUUUUUUUUUGGUUAUAUAAAAGGGGAAGGGGGAGGAAGAGACAAGCCCACCUCCGCGUAGCAGCCUCCAUCCUGUUAGGAGAAUGUUCGAUACAGGCAGAAAUGACCGUGUGUUUGGCAUUUCGGCCAGUUUUACUUAUAUCUUUCCUAUCCAUGAGCCUGGCUCGGUUAUCUCUCUGGGCUUCGGUACGAAUCCUUCGUGUGAGUACGUCACAUCUUGCACCAUCGAAGCUAUCGGCAGAUCAAUACGUCCUUUCACACUCCGUGUUCGAGCAAGGAGCAUUCAGUCUCCAUAAUUUAAUCAACGUCCGUGCGUUUCGAACUUGGAACCACUUGGUUGGAAGUAAGGCUAUGGUACCACUGAGCUACCAUCUCAGUGGCGUGGAAGCUUUCUUUUGAGGAUGAUUCUCAAGGGAGGUGAAUGGUAAUUAAUUUAGAGGGGUUUUUUUUUUCCGAAGAAGUUAUUUUUUACAUUGUAUCCACCCUCCGAACAGACCCAACUCAUUGUAGCCACUGUUCGCAGAACCCAGACGUCGACCAUGCCAUUGUAGUCACUGUUCACAGAACCGAGCCGUCGACCAAGUGAUUGGAGUCACUUUUCGCAGAACCGAGACGUCUUUAGAAUUCAAAACAUGCCCGUUGCUGCAAAGGAUUAAGGCUUGUAUUAUCCUAAGAUUGUAGGUGGAUGAUGGACCAGAAACUUUUAUUGCUUCCAUUGCGGUCCAACCCACAUGACUUGUUGCAGAAAGUUCUGCCCUUGUUAUAAAGCCUACAGGCUAAACUAUUUGAGGAAAAGAAAGCUUCAGCAGUUAGGCAGCUGGCUAUGUCGUAAUCUACUUAGAUAGUCAGUGACAUUCUAAUAGAUGGUGGCCUAUUCGUUUCCUCGUAUAGAAAGUAUUAUGCGUAGGGUUGUAACUUUCUAUCAUUGUGCUAGAUUUCGAUGAUCCUCCCAAAUAAAAUUUUCUAUUGAUUUGUCAAAUUGAAGAGAACCAAAUCCACUGUCAUUCCACCAAUACUUGUAUUUUCUAAGCACCGGACACUCUGGGUGAUUGUAGGGACGUAUAGAAUCCAUGCCAACAUCAACAUGACCACUUAAACAGAAAGGUAGCAUGAAAAAGGAAGGGAGAGGGGGGAAAAUCUAUCUUAUAAAUCAAGAUUUUACAUUGAAAAUAAGGUACUGUAAUCUAGUUAUAGUUUUCAUGUUUUUGUAAAAGAAUAAAUAAACUCGGAUUGUACAUCAUUCCGGGAGAACAGUCAAAACGAUUGUCAUGGGUGAGGCCAGAAUUUGACGUGGUGAUCAAGGUGAGAAAAUAUGACUUGUGUUUUGCCUCCUCCCAGCUUGUGUUGAAGCACCUGACCUUCCAUAUCACUUUCAGACAUUGUGUUUUUUCUUCCAGCAAUUCUGGUUCCUAGCUGAGUGUCAAAUUUCAAUGUCAAGCUCAGACGGUCUCCAAGCAAAUACCACAUACUUCCCAUGAACCUGGAGACAUGAGAUGGGACUGCAGAUUCUCAUUGUGUAUAUCUCCAUCUUCCAAAUGCUUAUGAAACUCAUUUAACUCCCCGUCGUGGAUUUCCUGACAUUUUGCGUUUGUUGGAUUUGGCAGAUGGAUCAAACUUGGAAUGUGCUGGGGCAUGCUUCGGCUUCUUGUCGUCCCUUCUAUGGUCACCAGUUGCUCUAUUGCGCCACUUUGGUCUAGCAAUCACAUUCCUCUUUUUGUUCUCUCUUGACCGUGCUUCAAGUAAACUCUCAGAAUUAGAAGGAUUUGCACCAUUUGUCAAUUGGUUUCUACCAGCAGUUUGACAAGUCUCAUUCAUGCUCAAAAUAUCUUUUCUCUGUUUCUUUCUUCUCCCUUUCUGAUCCUUGGUAGUUGCCCUGGAAUUCUUCUCUUGUGAUCCAGUUACAUCAUCAAGUACCCUUUUCUUCCCUCUGCAAAUGUAAAGCAUCAAAUGACAACUAUCAUUUAAGAAAACUUGUCAUGAAAAUAUAUAGUUUAUAAAUAACUAUGGAAUCUCAUACCCUUUGGUGACUGAAUCUGCCGACUUCACUGCUGUUUCUGAGCGGGCAACUCUCUUAGGAUUUUUCUUGCUUCGGCGACCCUGCAGUUAAAUAGUAUCAUGAAAAAUUGCUGCGCUAAGGACAUGCAGGACAUUAUCUAGAAGAGGGUGGUGAUAAGUAAUUCAGAUUCAACAAUAAGAUGGUGUGUGGCAGUUCAAAUUGACACGAGGUACAAGCUCAGUUUACUUCUGUAGGAUACCGUUUCGCUCAAGAAUGUAUAUUUCAAAAACUCUCAACUGUGAAAAACUUGUACAAACAGAAAGUCCCAUAUUGGCUAUUACAAUGGACAAAAUUCCAAACUGGCAACUACGAUGGGCUGCAUCUUUGACUUAUUUGUUGCUCGGAUAUGAAGAUAACUCCUCAUGUCAAAAUUACUAUUCAACCCUCUGAGUAGGGUCCAAGUCCAGAGCAUUUUGGAGGGUUGUUGCUCGUUAGGAUUGGUUUAAGCUGUGAUGAAUAACACACAGAUUUCCCUACCCACCAACUAGCUCAAUAGUUUUCAAUCCAAGCCCUUCCCUUGCCUAAAUUUCUUUGGCUAGAAAUUCAGCACCAAUUUCUUGACAGUAGACAUCAGGUUGACAAUGCAUUCUGAUGCAAGUUUAAAGCAGGAUCUUCCUAAGGACACCCUUGUGAUUUAAAACUAAACUAGAACAAUAAAGACUUUAAAGUCUAUGUAUGGCAGCAUCAUUGAAUAAUAAUACUGCACUGAUGAUCUUUCUCAACCUCAAUACUGAUGCAUUUAGAAGUCUUCUGUUCAUCAGUAUUCUAAUCAUUUCAAAUAGUUCCUUGAUGGUAAACAACAAAGUUGCUUAUUUCCAGUGUAGGCACCUUAGAAAGAAAAAAAAAACUAUUGAAGUAGCACUUAAAAUGAUCAUUACAAAAGUAAUUUAUAUAUCAAGUCACUGUAGAACAAAGAAGUCUCAUCAAUAUUUAUCAACUCAAAAGUAUUUGGGAGUUGGGCAAGAACAGCAGCUCUUUACAGCAGGUAUGCCGUGGAAGUAAAACAUCACCCAAUUGAGGAAGCUUUAGUAAUAUGAUGGUGAGCCAAGCAAAACCUUUAUAAUAAACUGUUCCAAACAAGAUUUAUGACAACUUAACAAGUAUGAAUAUAAAAUAGAAGCGAAUGGCAGUCUGAUGACACUAAAUUUUGGCAUUUGCUUCUAAACCACCUUGUAUGUUCUUGAUCACUCUCACUUGAUUGGAAGGGAGAAAAAUGGUGAUACCUGCCCAGUUUCUCCUACUAAGCAGGAAUAGAGCAUAAAAUUCCCUUGAAUGUUGCCGGGGCAACAGCACAAAGAAGUGUCGUUGGCAUGCAGAGGAGAUAGAAUCUUAUUAGUAGGAUUAAAGCCCAAUUUUAUCAUUACAGGAUCAACGAUGAAAAGCACAACCUAGAACAUCUAAAUAUCCUAGGAAGCAAAAAAUCAUAUGUUUUGGAGAUUUGCUACCUAUGCAUCAGAUGUUUCAAAAUAUGUAACCUCAAUGGCAUGACACAAGGUCUUGAUUUCAUAUGGUCUAGAAACAUGGAAAUCAAUUCCAAUUUGCGUUGACUUUUCAAGAUGUCUCAUUAUUAUGGAUGAGCAAUUGAAAUGAUCAUAUAAUAUUUUAGGAUUCUAGCUUCAUUGGUGCUUUGUGCUCACUUGAUGCUCUAAUUUUUUUUAGAAGCAUGUAUUUUCAAUUUAGAUGUUCUGUAGUUGAUUCUAAAGUGAUAGGAUUAAGAUUUCCAUCAUAAAGUUUUUCAGAUGCAAGGAAAAAGUUUUUAAUUUUCACAUCCUUAAAACAAGAUUUCAGAUGUCUGGGGACUUAUCACCCAUGGAAAUAACAAAACAAACUACCAAUUCCAGUUAAUGAAUUUAAGUAUCAAAGUCACUUGAACUUUGGAUAAGCAGAAAAGACAAUGUUCUAGAUCAUGAAGGCCCACAUACGCUUUGUCAUGGGCAAAGUAGUCGGUCAUUAUAUCUUGGUAUGUCAUUAUACUCUUUGUAUGCUCAUCAAAUAUACACUGAUUGCAAGUUGAACUAUAUUUUGGUCAUCUCAAUUCAAAGAUGAGUCAGGAAGCAAACCAUCGUGGACAAGUGGUGCAAACAGCUGUUAGCAUAUGAAAGAUGAGUGAUCUAACUACCAUAGAAGUACCAUCUCAUCCUUGAUCCCAAGUAGAAUGUUUGAGCAUAAAAUAGGGGGUACCCUGCCACUGACCAAAAAAAUGUUUCAAACCAAGUUGUGGGGGGCCAGAAGGGUCACUCACUCAUUAAAGUACCCAAUACAACAAAAUCAGAUGAAAGCCAAAGCCCUACAGAACCUGGGACGUUUCAUUACCUUAACCUGUUUGAAUACCUUAUGUUGAGGCUAAUUAUCAUAAAGUCUUCCCUAGCAUCUUAAUUGGUCUCGAUUGUCAAUGGCUGGCAGGCAUAUCGAUAACCCACCGGAUGUUGACUUACAAUGCACUCUUUUAUUUAAGCCACAAAGAUACUUUGCAAAAAACUGAUUAUUGAAUAUAAAGACUCGUCUGCUGUCGCUUCAUAUCUAUAGUAGGAUUAAUUGGAUAUAAAUGCUAAAUAAGAUAGUUUCUUACUCAUCUAAAAUUCUGUAAGCAUUUGACUUUGUUCUAUACAUUUUAAUAAUCUCCAUUAUCACAGCAAUGCAAUAACAUUUUUUUGAAACUGAAAGAUAACAUAUGACAAAUCCACUCAACAUGCAUGAUAUGUGGUUGUGCACACAUAUAUGCAUGUGUGUGCAGAGGCUUGCAGCCAGACAUCCAAACACAAGGGUUUAAAAAUUUCGAUGCCAGGCCCCUUCCCGAUUUAUUUGUCAUGGUACAGUACCAGGUUGGUACAGUCGGAAUGUACCAAAACAGCCAAUCACAACAAGAAGAGAAAAGAAAAGACUAAAAAAACUUGUGUCCUGGUCCAUCCCAGUGUGUCCCAAGUUCAAGAGGGAUGUAGCGGGGUGUUGUGCAGAUGUAAAACUAGGAGCUUAGUUAUUAAUCAAAACCUCAAGGCCUCCUGUGCAGAUGUGUAGCCAUGCUGUCAUUUGUUUUUGUUUUCCUUUUUUUUGCGCUUCACACCUCAACACUUGACUAGCCAGGUCUUCAAGUGAUAUAGAGCUCAUGUGCUGACCACCUAACAAAGACUGAACGUACAGAUGAUCUAAGAUAGGUAGUUGCAGCAAAAGAUGAGGAAAAAAUUAACAUUGGAACUCUUCACUAUUGUUCCUCUCUUGCUCCUAGCCUAGCCUAAGUCAGAAACCUGCUAACCCUCACUGAAUAAACAUAUUAGGUCUAGAGGCCGCAUUAUCCAGAAAUAGGUAAAAUAUCCUUUCUUUUUAAAAUUUGCUGCCGACCGGUUCAGCCUGUACCAUAUCGGUACCGGCCAGCGCCGGUACGGUACAGCCACAGAAUUCGGUUCCGACCCCAAAGGGGACGAAACCGAAUGGCUCCUUGCCAGUACCGGUACGGUUCGCACCCGUUCAAGCCUAGUACCGAUGCGUACCGGUACGAGCCCGGUACCAGCACCGGGGAAGAAGAAGAGGAAGAAGAGGAAAGAAGAGGAAGAAAGAAGAGGAAGAAGAGGAAAGAAGAGGAAAGAAGAGGAAGAAAGAAGAGGAAGAAGAGGAAGAAGAAGCUUACCUCCUCCCUCGGGCCGACAAGGAUCGCCCGUUCUUCGGUGCGGUUCCGGCCCCUUCUUUGCUCACGGGAGAAGGGGGGAAAGAGAGGAGAAGAGAAGAGAGAGGGGGGGAAGAAAGAAGAGAAGGGUCGGGAAGGAGAGGAGAAGGGGUAAAAAAAAAGGAGAGAGCAAAGCGUGGAAACGCGUCCCCGACUCGAGCCUGCGCGCGUUCCACGUGGUGCGAACCGCGGACCACGCGUAGGGAAUCGCGCGCGCGCGGUUCCUCGGGCAAGCUCUCCGCGUGGGGCAGCGAGCCCCGCUUUUAAUGCCACAGAGUGGCAUUUAUCGCCACUCUGUGGCCGAACGCGGACGCGCGCACGUCCACGCGCCCGUCCGCGAGUUUUUUUUUUUUAAGCGGAACCGGUUCGGUAUCGGUUCCAACUAGUACCGGUCUUCACCGGUACGUUGGUUCGGUCAAUUCCGCAUAUCUUGUUUUAUUUAUAAAUAAACUCUUCUAAUUGGUUUAUGCAUGCAAGUUUUUCAUGUAAUGGCAUAGUUUAUAAGGGUAUGCAAGAAUCUAUGCCUUCAUAUGAGUAGCCAUGUGAAUUUUUGAGUGUUUGGAAGGAAGGGUGCAUGCAUCAUGUGCCUAAGUCUGUUCAUGACAUCAUAAAGAGGAAUUAUUUGAGCUUGGCAUCCUUCUUGGCCACAAAUUUUUCAAAGCAAACCAACAAACUCCAACUAGUAAAUCAUGAACAUAUAUGAAGUCAGAGUUUAUAUUAACAGAGCGCAAAUACCACAUAUUUGGUCUUGCAUCCAAUGCGAGCUUUCUAAGCUGCAUAGACAGUGCAUGAAUGUGCUUCAAUUUUUCCAUGGAGGUAUGUAAAAAGAAUUACCCAAGGUCCUAGUUUGGCCCUAUAUUCCCAAGAAUGAACUCAACCAUUCCAAAUAGCAACCUGUAAGAAGUCUUAAAGUUAAAAUUUAUAACGACGGAGUGCAUAUACGCUACAUCUGUUGUUGUUAUCCAAUACAAUCCAAUACAAGCCUUUUAUGCUACAAUAUAAUAGAUAUAGGACAACUGUUACCAAGAACACUUUGCGUUGGUUAAAAGUGGCAAACAAUUAUGAUCAUUCUUCCUAAUAUUAUGGUGAUAUACAAAAAGAAACUCUACCUCUUUAAUGGUUUUAACGAAGGCCUUGCAGUUUUUAGGCACAAUAAUGUCGAUGGCAUCAAAACCACACUUUCUUAUGAAGAUCUCAAGGAUGACUGCAACCUGCAAUUUGGUGUAGUUGCUUAAUCAUGUAACAAGAUUUCACAGGAGAAGAAAUAAAUUGACAACCAAAACAAUGCUCAAGUGGCACAUGCCUUUGAUUUGAAAUGAUGUUUUGAAACAGAUGACCAUGGCAAUAUUCCAUUGACAACAUCAGGGACAAGUUUCAGUAGUUUAUCGGUCUGCAAGGAGGAAACCAACACCUUUACGAAGCCCAAAGCUGCCUAUCACAUGUCAUAGCGCAUAUGAGAUUUCGAAUUAGAAGAUAAAACCCCAAGCCAGAAAUAAACAUGCAGCAGAAACUCACUUUAGUGACUUCAAUAUCUUUGUUUUGCAGCAAAACUAAAACCGAUGGCAGCAGGUUUGGCACAGCCAGACAAAAGUCAGCAUCAUUGUAUAUAAGCAAUGAAAGUGCAGAUAUUGCUCCGCUUAUUAUGUGAGGAGAUGAACUAGAGAGAUAUCCCAUCACCUGCAAAGUGAAAUAAAAUGAAUAAAAUUAACUUAAAUAUACACUAGCAGCUAAUUAUGAUGCAGAGCUAUGUAAGAGGCAUGUCCUCAAUACAGAUAAGAUGCUUUGUUAUGGUAGCUAAAAAGAUGCUUAGGAAAGGGCAAGAUAACUGGUACAUAAACAUGUUUGUCAAAUGAUUAUCCGCAUAUAUCACUAGACAAAUCAUAAAUCAAGCAAUAGAUCUCAGGUUCUAACAAUUAAAUGUAAGAGCAGGUAAGUUAUCCAUCUGCUUCUUCCUAAAGACCGGAAUAUAAGGCACACUUGACUUCUCAUGACGAAAAUGCUAACAAUAGACUGAUACUAAUGGAAUUAAAAAAUACAAUAACAACAAAAAUGACCAAGUGAUACAAUCUAUGUGAACAUUGGGAAAAAUCUAAAAACAAAUCUGAAGACAGCAAGAUGAGCAGUUAGAAAGGAAAAAAGAAACCAAAGAAGAAAAAAUGGCUUGCACAGAACUCCAUGGUCUUGACACCAUGGCAAGGUUAUUCAACAAAUUAUAAAUUCUAAUUAUAAAGUUCUUGCAGGAAUCUCUUAUUAUAUUUUCUUAAGAUACCAUCUGUACCUUCUGUCCAAUGAAUCACGGAACUAUCAUUACACAAAAAAUUUUGAAAUGACUAAAAAAAAUAAGAUAACAAUUUUACAUGAAUACAUUGUGAGGGUAAAAUGACUUAACACAACUGCAUAUAUACAUGAGACAGCUCUAACAGUCUAUGAUGGAUCAGUGUUGGUAACAUUACCAUACUAAAUAACCGUUGAAGAUCAGAUUCUGCAUCACCAGACUGAGGGUUCUUUAAGCUGCCACUUAUAGUCAGGAGUACAUCAUAUGCUAGUUUUCGAGAUUCUUUCUUAGUCUGCAUAAGAUUAAGAAAGUCAAAUUCAAGAGAUCUGGAUAUCAGAUUGAAUAGCUUGAAAUAAUACGAAAUAUUUUAACAAUAAGAAAUUCAAUACGCAUAUCAUAGAUCAAAUAUGUAUUUGACUUGGACCAAAAAUGGAUAAUAAUAUAAUCUGCAAUAAUGCCAAAGCCUAUGCUAAUAUUUAACUUCAUCUAAAACACUAAUCCUGUAUUAUGGCUUAAUCAUAAUAUAUAGAUUAAAUAUAACUAAGCACUAAAUUGUUGAUUGGCAUGUACUAGCAUGUGGCAUAGCUGAAUGGCAGUGGAUGCCAAGAACUGGAAUGUUACACCACAGCAUAUACAUUGUCAAUGCCAGCCUGCACAGCACUGGAGCACAGUUAAAUACCUUGUAUAGUAUGUGACAUUUACGUACCAUGCUACUAAAUUCUAAUUCAUAAAGCCUGAAUAAAAAUAUGGAUACAAGCAAAAGAAAAAAAUGUGAGAAAACAUGCAAUCUAAUAAUCACAUAUUAUCAAACCUAAGAUACUAUUUCUUAUUCAUGUGAAUCGCCUGUUUCUGCUUUGGCUCAUUGGACCAUGUGCUAUUAGAGCAUUUAGCGAGCAUUUUACAGAGACAAGAUGGACAAAAUACUUGAGUGAAAGAUGGUGAGAAAUUCUGGCCCAUAGUAAAGAAAAGAAAUACAUGAAAGCUUUGGAAUUUUAGGUGACAGAGAGACUUUUGGACAUUUAUUUAUGUUUGUGAUGAAAUAUUUAGAUUACUUCUAAAAAGCUGUUCUUCUUUUCGAUAAUACAAGAUAAUACCAAGCUAAUUUGGACAUAUGCAAAGCAAAACAAACAUUAUCAUUAAAAAACCCCACUGCACUUAUGAAGCACUAGAUUUUCUUGAUUUGUCAUGACUUGUGAAUAUGCUUCAUUUAAAACCAGAUAAGAGGCACUUGCCUUUAGAUUAUUGUGUUAUAACAAAUCUUCAUAAAGGGGCCAAUAGUUUUAAUUUCUCAAAACUUCCUGUGAGGCACAGUGACCUCUCUAGUAAUAAGAAGGGAGCAUCCACGUGAACAAUAACAGUUGUAGUUUCCAUGCAAAAUGAGGCAAGACAGUAUUUCUUUAAGCCUAACUUCCUUCUCCUCUUAAAGCAUGUUAGGCUGUACAUAUAUUAUGCAUGGCCAUAUUCUCAAUCCUGGAAUGAAUAAUCCAGUUACACACUAAUUCAACAUGUUAUACAGAUAUUUUUCAGGCUUGCAAUCUGAUAAAAAUGAAAUGAUGUAAGUUGAUGCUACCAGUGAUCAUUGUAUCAGUCAAGAUUUUUUUUUUCUUUUUUUUGCAAUCGUGGGAUAAGAAUAGUCAAAUUUACUCCUAAACAAAUUGCAACUUUUUACUUGAAACUUAAAAAAAAAACAAGAAUCCACAUAUCUUUCAUAAAAGGCAGACAGGCAUUUUCCAAACAUCCGUAUGUAAAUUAUUAGUUUUUGACUUUAUGUGUGACAGAAGUCCCAGAACCAUUGUUAGGGUUAAUAGGGGGUAAGACCCAUGUUGACUUGUCUGACUACAUUAAAGACAGAUUCAUGUUGCCCAAAGAUUAUGCAUGGGCAAUUAUGAUUCGCAUGUGGCCUACCUUCUAAGAAAAUAAAAAUUGAUAGGCAUAAAAGAAAGAAAAUUACAAAUUUUAGAGAACACUAAAAUAAUGUAUGAAUAGUAAAAUAAUGCUGUCCAUCGCAGGGUAGUGACAAAACCUUUAGUGUGAGUAUAAUCUCAUUCAGAAUUAAAAAUGCUUUGGUGUUCAUGUGCUCCUCAUUUCUCUGCAAACGAAUUGAAAAUUACAGGUUAGAGAAGCUUUUUUGUCAACUGAGUGAACUACAUGCUCCUGCAAAUGAAAACUUGACAAUUUGAAGCAUCACAGAGAUUCCAUGCACAUAUAGAUAAAUACAACUAACAUAAUGCCAGGACCCAGGAGUGUAUAUGUGUAGUAAAUGUAGCAGUCAAGAAGACUAAUGAACAAUGCCAUGUUGGACAACAGCUGAGGUUGCUAUAACCAAAAAAGUAGAAUUCGAAAGUUAACAUUCAAAAACUAAAUGAAAAUGGCAGCUUUGGUGUUGUUUCAACUUUCAAUUUCAGGGAAAUUUUAGGGAAAGAAUUAAAUGUAGGAUCGAGUGUGUGUGGAAGAAGCCUCUUUGUGGAUACAUAUUCCAUCAAACAAAACCUCAGCAUUUGAUAAAAUCCAUUUUCUUCUGAAUAACUAAUUCUAAGAAUUUAAAGUUAUUAACUAAAACUUGAGGAGAAUGGGUUGUUAUAUUUUUAACGAAUCCAUUAUCGAGGCUUUAUAUGAAUAUAUAAAACCACGAAAGGUUAUUUCUAUAAAAGAUAAUAAGUUCAACUCAUGCUGAAAUAACUUGACUUUGCAGAUGCAUCAUGCAUGUAAAAAGAAUUCAAGCAUGGCCCACACACGCAAGAUGUAGGUCUUUGUGUAUGUGUUUAAGCAAUAGCAUAUACUACAAUCUCCAUCCUCUAAUACCUUCCCUCCAAAAUCAUGGAAUAUCAAAAAUGAAAAAACAAAUCCCAACAAAUAACAAAAGCACGAGGUAGCAUAGGUCUCGCAAAAUGUCUUGCUAAUCACCUGAAGGACCGUAUGCAAAACAUUUCGAGUAACUAGAUAGAAAUGUCAAACAAAGUGAAAAUCAAUUUUGAUGUGCUGCUUCUGCUUGUGAAACAAAAUUGCUAGAAGGUUUAUUAUGAAAAUAAAAAGGCUGACUAUUAUGAAUAUAGAAAAGCAUGGGCUGCAAGGCCAUUGAACAAUCAUGCCAUGCCGGUAAAAAUACAACUAGAUUUCAUGUCAGGAAACAAAGUCUUA
rnacentral:lncRNA from 1 species